GACGAACGCUGGCGGCGUGCUUAACACAUGCAAGUCGAACGGAAAGGCCCUGCUUUUGUGGGGUGCUCGAGUGGCGAACGGGUGAGUAACAAGUGAGUACCUGCCCUUGACUUUGGGAUAACUUCAGGAAACUGGGGCUAAUACCGGAUAGGAGAUCCUGCUGCAGGGUGGGGGUUGGAAAGUUUCGGCGGUUGGGGAUGGACUCGGGGCUUAUCAGCUUGUUGGGGGGGUGGUGGCUUACCAAGGCUUUGACGGGUAGCCGGCCUGAGAGGGUGACCGGCCACAUUGGGCCUGAGAUACGGCCCAGACUGCUACGGGAGACAGCAGUGGGAAAUAUUGCACAAUGGGCGGAAGCCUGAUGCAGCAACGCCGCGUGCGGGAUGACGGCCUUCGGGUUGUAAACCGCUUUCGCCUGUGACGAAGCGUGAGUGACGGUAAUGGGUAAAGAAGCACCGGCUAACUACGUG
rnacentral:rRNA from 1 species